GUAAAAAAAUCCGAAAAUAUCAAAUCUGAAAUCCUAAAUUUCCCUUUUAAGGAAAUUAUAAGCUAAUGAAUACACAUUUAUAAAUAUUAUGUUGCACCUUUAUCCUUUAAAGGUGCAAUAUAUAAGAAGUGACCACCUGUUGAAUUUGUACUCAAAACAAAUGAGGGGCAGCAUAAUCACUGCACUGUAGCUGACUGCGAGCUAGUGAGCUCCGUUAGCCAUGCAGUUAGCGGUCUGGACUGGGAGCUCAUAGCACCAGGGCAGUGUUGGUGUUCAUACGACCAGCACAGGAGUCUUUGGACGGUUUGAGGGGCUUCUGUUGCUGGUAAUCUCGCUAUACAUACGUAGAAGUUAUACAUUCACAAGUGUUAUUCCUUCAUAUUCUCUUGAUUAAUGUUUUCAACCACAAUUAUUACAUAUUGCACCUUUAAACUUUUAAUCAGCUGAUCAAAAAGUUGCCUCAUUGCUUCAGCACAAGCUUUUCUCUAUGUAAGUAUGCCAAGUUAAAAAAAAAACCUGUUGAUUACAACCGUAUCAAGCGAGGUUUCCUUAUGUCAGCGCCGACGCUCCGGCUCUCUCUCUGCCUCAUGCACUCGCUCACAUUCUUUGUCCUAUCAUAAUUACGGGGAUUACAGGUCCAAUCAAAGAGAUACCAUAAAAAUUGUUUCCAGGACAUGCAUCCAAAGUCCAAAAUAUGAGCUUGUGGUGACAAAUAAAGUUUUCCUUCAGUCUUCUGAGCUGCAGUCGGCCACUAUGCAGAGGUUCCAGAUGGCUCUCCAGCCAGGGAAAAACGGUCGCCAUGUAGUGAUACAUGCCGUGAGCAUUGGUCUGGCGGUCAUUGCUCAGAUGAUCUUGAGCAUCUUCGUGACUCUGACAAAGGACAGCUUUGUGCCCGACGCUCUGUUUCAGACCCCAUCCUGGAAUGUGUCUGAGACCUUCUCCCUGGAGGUGUCGAUGGACAGGUGGUCAGGAGGUUUCUGGAUUAUGAUUGACUUGUGGUCCCUGGGGUGGCUUCUACACGCAACGGUCGGCCUUUUUAAUAGGAAUGUCCUCGGCCCCGAAUCGUGCAAUCCAGAAAUCCACCCUCCGUCUUUUUAUCUGAUGUGGGUCACCAUUAACAUCGCAAGAGUGUGCAGCAUGGUUCUGUGGCACACAGGCAAUUUAGUUUCUGCCGUCCAACUCUGGUGGACAAUACCUGUGUUCAGCUUCUUCAUGCUCUCCAUUUCCUACUACAACGUCCACAAGCAUAAAGCCUGGCUAGCCAUCAACACCCCGAGACUGGCGACAUGGACCCGUUACCUGACCCAGAAUGGCUUGGCGGUGUUUGCCUGGUGGUCUCUCUUGAAUGCUGUGGUCGGUCUCGGAGUGGUGCUCAAGUACAAAGGUGGCGUGCAGGACCCACUGAUCAGCGCCAUCGUCCUCGCCAUAAUCUGCGUGUGUGCUUUAACCUGGUUCCUCCUACAGACCUUCCUGCUACACAAAUACUUGCGCUACACAUUCUGCGUCUACCCCAUCCUCGUUCUGGGCCUGGGUGCCAUGUUCACCAGAAGCUAUCGUGUCCACAACAUCUCUUUAAACACAUCCUUCUGUGGCUGCCUUAUGCUCCUCAUGACCUGCAUGAGCGUGGUCCAUUUGAUCUGUGAAUGUAUGCGCACGGAUGACUCGGGCCAGCCCCUCGCCGUGGAGCCCUACGUGACGUCUGGGGUCUGUGAGACUGUGUGCCAACCGGACGCCAAGCACAAACCUCAGAAGUGCUGACAUGGGAGAAAGCUUUCUGACAAUUAAACAAUAAAAUCAACGCGAGGGUGAUCGUUUGGAAGUGUGCACUUUAGAUUGAUGUCCAAAAGGGGGCAGCAUAUACUCACUUCACACUGAAAUUGUGGCAUGAUAAACAGAGCUCUGUUGGACCACAGGGUGGCUCAGUGGUUCAGGCUUUUAUAAUGAAAAUCUCCCUGUAUGGAGCACAUUCAUACACAAAGUCAAGAGCAUCCAAAAUGAAUGUAAAGAAUAUCCUUCUAUGUGAUUCGUACUGUUUUUGUGUUGAUCUCCAUCGUUGUUCAAAAAUAUUAAAACGCACAAAAAAAUGCAUAACUCUUAAUAAAGGCUGAACCAAAGUGAGGUUACGGGAAAAAUCACGAUAAAAGUUUGUUUGUUUGUUUGUUUUAAACUCCAGAUGAUGAAAGCGAUCGAUGAACUUUACUCAAGGUGCAUCUUCGCCAUGCAGCACGGUCCCAAAAACAGCUGGGUACACAACGGCAUAAAAAACCCAGGAGACAGAUAAAAUAAUAAUGUUUUAAAAAAUGAAAAUAAUAAGACAUAAUGAAUUCAAAACCUCCGUACCCUCUCCCUUUGCGUCCCUCGCUGUGCGGGUGACGUGGCACCCCAAAGAUAAUCACACAUGCUCAAGUUUUUAAGUGCCCUCUUUCUUGAUGCGGCUUAAAGGAUGGAAUAUCAAACAUGCCCGUUGGCUGAGGGGAAGAGCAGCUCGACCUUUGAUGAGGAUGGAGGGCUGAAUAGAAACCGAUCGUCAGAUGAAAGCAGCGGGAGGGGGGGGAAAAAAAGAAAAAAGACAAUAGGGGAUACCAUGAAUGUGUCCUCGGAUGGACAUGUUGACCCACAGCGGAGCAAAUUGGUCUCCAUCAGCAGGAUGGUGGAGUAAAUAAAGAAAUGAAAUGCAACAUUGUCUCUUUUUGUUAAACCCUCAUUGACUAAGAUGCCAGAAGAAUGUGCCCUUCCUUAGAACAAACUACAUGUAGACCAUGGUGUUGCUUUUCCUCGCUGUUGUGUUAUAUUGGUGUUUGCAGAUAUUAGAUGGCCCCUCUGUUCUGGCUGGAUGUCUGUGAACCUGAUCAUAAACUCACGUCGGCAAUUUAAUUUGACCACCUCAUUUGGAGAAAAUCAGAAUACUAUUAUCUCCGGCUUAAUAAUGCAGGAUGAUUUGCUUUCAGGGCCGUCGCUGAAAAAGAGGCAGAGUUAGGAGUGCAGGAGUGGAAAAUCCCUAAUUGCAAAUCACAACACUGAAAUUCAGCUUUGUGCACCUCUAUGAGUCAUUCUGCUCAAAGAAUCAUCAAUUUGGACGGGAUAUUACGGUCUGCUACGUUUGGAAAUGUAUGUUUUAUAUAGAUGUUGUGGCUCAAUUGGGACUUACAGUUUAAGUUUUUUGAUCUGAACAUUUUCCAUCAUGUGGAAAUCUGUCAAACUUUGUUUAAAGUAAAGCUGACAAUUUUUAUUUGUUUAACUGAUCGGCUAAUUGACAGAAAACUGGUGUUCCAGUAAAAUGAAUAUAUUUGGAUUUUAGACUGUUAUUGAGAUUUAUAAUCAAUUAAUCGUUUAAGACAUUUUUAAGCACAAUUAAGUCAUUUUUUUGGCAUCUUCUCAAAUGUGAAUGAAUACUUGGCCUUUGGGGAUUUAGACUCUUAUUCAAAUGCAUAUUAAUUGUUUAAGUCAUUUCUAAGCACAAAUAACGCAAUUUGUCUGGUUCCAGCAUUUUAAAUGUGAAUAUCUUCUGUUUUUCUUGUACUCCUAUGAAAGAAAACCAAAUAUGUUUGGAUUACAGACUGUUAUUAUACUACGUUUUGAUAGUUUUCUUGGUCUCCUAUUACAGACAAUUCAUAGGUUUGGGUUUUGGACCAUUUUGUUUAGAUCAAUUCAAAGUUUAAGUCAUUCUCAAGCAUAAAUAACAAGCUUUCACUGGUUCCAGCACACUAAAAGUGUAUAUUUCAUUGUUUUUUUUAACAGAAUAAAAGAAUAGUACAGUUUGUGCAUAGUUUUUGCACUGUGUUUUAACAAUCAGUUCAUCUUUAAGUUAUUUUUAAGAAAAAACAACAUUUCACUGGUUCCGGCAUUUUAAAUGUGAAUAUUUGAGUGUUUUAUUGUCUGUUUUGCAUGGUAGAAAUGCAAAAGAAAACAUAUAAAUGAAAAUGGUUCCAGCUUCCCAAAUGUUAAUAUUGUCUUGUUUUAUGAUACUAAACUGAAUUUUUAGAUUUUGGAGAAUUAGCU
rnacentral:lncRNA from 1 species